rnacentral:rRNA from 1 species
AAUAUUUCGCAAUGGGGGAAACCCUGACGCAGCGACGCCGCGUGAGCGAAGAAGGCCNNNGGGUCNUAAAGCUCGGUUAUAAGNGAANAACAUUAUCGAUGUAAACAAUGGAGAUAAAAGACGGUACCUUAUGAGUAAGCCCCGGCGAACUAUGUGCCAGGAGCCGGGGGAAGACAUAGGGGGCUAGCGUUGUCCGGAAUUACGGGGCGUAAAGAGCACGUAGGGGGGGAUUUAAGUCAGGUGUGAAAGACCGCAGCUUAACUGCGGGGUUGCACUUGAAACUGAAUUUUUUGAGGGCAGGAGAGGAAAGCAGAAUUCCUGGUGUAGCGGUGAAAUGCGUAGAAAUCAGGAGGAAUACCGGUGGCGAAGGCGGCUUUCUGGACUGACCCUGACGCUGAGGUGCGAAAGCGUGGGUAGCAAACA